AGUGAGAGUGGGAAGCAGCACAGCCAUUGACUUGUUGCUUGGGAAACUCAUCCAAGAGUUGUCAUCAUCAAAUGAACAUGUCAGCAAGGUGCUCUGGCAGGCACUACCCAAAAAUAACUGAGGAUUGCAGCCGACCCACAGCACACGUCUGAAAUUCACGCCUCUGCUUCUUCUCAGCCAUGGGAUCCUCUUGGCUGACCUCCCCCUGCCCCAGGGCACACAGGAGCUGCCCAGUGACCAUCGAUCAGCCCCUUCUGCCUGGAGCUGCAGACCACAAGGUGCUGCAGCCGUGCUGGCAGGAGCACGGGGCUGCUCUGACAAGAAAGCACAGAGGAAUCUCUUUAUCUACUGAUAUCAGCAACCAGCUCUGCUGCAGCCUGACAAAGAGGCUGGGAGGUGAGGCUGGCUCCAGGCACAUCCAGCCAAACAGCAGGAAUGAGCAGGAAGGUAUUUCACAAGGAGCCACUGUUGUUGCAAUGUUCACCCUGAUGAUUGCAAGGCCAAGAGAGGUUUCCCUGCAAGUUGUUUUGGGUGCUGGGGUUCUCAGAGCUGCCAGGGAGCUGCUGCAGCAACAAAAUAUCAAUGCAUAUGGAUAAACCUUGGGAUGAAUAAUAGAAUCAUGGAGUGGUUUGGGUGGGAAGUGACCUGAAAGCUCAUCUCAUUCCACCCCUGCCAUGGGCAGGGACACCUCCCACUACCUCAGGGUGCUCCAAGCCCUGUCCAGCACCUAAAGGGAUAAUGCUCAACUCCUCUCUGCUCCUGCUCACUAUGGGUGUAAGACAAGGUUUUUUCUUUAAUGGGACUGUUGCUUCCUUUCCAUCAUCUCCAGCCAAGUUAAACUAAUUAAACUGAAUGCAGAUUAUA